GAUUUCGUCCCAAAAACCUUGCAAAAACACGAUUAAGAUCAAGAUCUAAGCUACAGAGCGAUUGAAAACACAACCACAAUUCAUAUGCAUGAAUCAAUUGAAGAGGUACGAAGGUGAGGGACCGGGAGUUGACCUGACCACCGACGGCGAUGGCGACGAUGGCGACGACGGCGACGACGAAUGCGCUACCUUCGCCAUAGUCCCCUAGAGCAGUACAAGCUCCCUGUCUGUUCUUUCUGCGGUGGUGAACGAAGGGCAGUGCAGCAGAUCGAACUAAUUUGAGCUUCACACUAACACGGAGAGAGAGAUCCGAGACUUACCUAACCGGAAAAUCAAAGAAGACUCGCCGAAGAGUUAUGGGCUCCGCCAUUCUCGCAGAGGCGGGAGAGAGAAGACUGAUGUGUGAUGAUGGUGGUGUCCUCGAUCUGCUCGAGUCGAGCAGAUGGUGUUGCUGCGUGUGUGUGUGUCGUCACGGCAAGAGAGGGAGAGAGGUAAGAGGGUUUCGAACUUUCGAGAGAGAGAGACAGUGCAGAGAAGAGAGUGAGAGAAGGAAAUGGGGUCUCG
rnacentral:lncRNA from 1 species